rnacentral:rRNA from 1 species
AGUGAACGCUGGCGGCAUGCCUAACACAUGCAAGUCGAACGGCAGCACAGUAAGCUCGCUCCUCUACUGUUAGCGAGGGGCGGACGAGUGACGCAUACAUCACCUUCCUCUAUUACGUGGGUGACUACGUGAAGACAUUUAUACUAAUACCUCAUAUUUUCAACCGCAUAAUUCAGAAGUGCUUCGGGCUCUUGCUGUCUCUAAUAGCUGGUUCCGUGCUGGAUUAGCUAGUUGGUAAGGUAACGGCCCACCAAGGCAACGAUCCGUAGCUGAUCUGAGAGGAUGAUCGGCCACACUGGAACUGAGACACGGUCCAGACUCCUACGGGAGGCAGCAGUAGGGAAUAUUGGACAAUGGGCGAAAGCCUGACGGAGCAAUACCGCGUGAGUGAUGAAGGCCUUCGGGUUGUAAAGCCCUUUUGUUAGGAAAGAACAGAAGCAGAUGAAUCCGUGGAUAUUCUGACGGUACCCAAAGAGAAAGCACCGGCUAACUUCGUG